ACCUGGCUGGCUCAGUCAGUAGAGCGUGAGACUCUUGAUCUCGGGGUUGUGGGUUCAGGCCCCAUGUUGGCUG
rnacentral:tRNA from 1 species